rnacentral:rRNA from 1 species
UACAGGGGGUGCAAACGUUGCUCGGAAUCAUUGGGCGUAAAGCGCACGUAGGCGGUUUGUUGCGUCGGCUGUGAAAUCCCGAGGCUCAACCUCGGGUCUGCAGUCGAUACGAGCAAACUAGAGUGUUGCAGGGGAGACUGGAAUUCCUGGUGUAGCGGUGAAAUGCGCAGAUAUCAGGAGGAACACCGGUGGGCGAAAGGCGGGGU